AACGAACGCUGGCGGCGUGCCUAACACAUGCAAGUCGAACGGAUUUGAGGGGCUUGCUCCUCAAGUUAGUGGCGCACGGGUGAGUAACGCAUAGAUAAUCUGCCUGAUGAUCCGGGAUAACACUUCGAAAGAGGUGCUAAUACCGGAUAAGCCCACGUGGUCUUUGGAUCGUGCGGGAAAAGGGGGGGACCUUCGGGCCUUCUGUCAUCAGAUGAGUCUGCGUACCAUUAGCUAGUUGGUAGGGUAAUGGCCUACCAAGGCUACGAUGGUUAGCUGGUUUGAGAGAAUGAUCAGCCACACUGGAACUGAGACACGGUCCAGACUCCUACGGGAGGCAGCAGUGGGGAAUUUUGCGCAAUGGGCGAAAGCCUGACGCAGCAACGCCGCGUGAGUGAUGAAGGCUUUCGGGUCGUAAAGCUCUGUCGAGGGGAAAGAAGUGUAAGGAGGCCAAUACCCUCUUUACUUGACGGUACCCCUAAAGGAAGCCCCGGCUAACUCCGUGCCAGCAGCCGCGGUAAUACGGGGGGGGCGAGCGUUGUUCGGAAUUACUGGGCGUAAAGGGCUCGUAGGCGGCCGCCUAAGUCAGACGUGAAAUCCCUCGGCUCAACCGGGGAACUGCGUCUGAUACUGAGCGGCUUGAA
rnacentral:rRNA from 1 species